AAAUGAAUUGACGGGGGCCCGCACAAGCAGUGGAGUAUGUGGUUUAAUUCGAAGCAACGCGAAGAACCUUACCAGGUCUUGACAUCAAGUGACCGCCUAAGAGAUUAGGCCUUCUCUUCGGAGACACGAAGACAGGUGGUGCAUGGUUGUCGUCAGCUCGUGUCGUGAGAUGUUGGGUUAAGUCCCGCAACGAGCGCAACCCUUAUCAUUAGUUGCUACGCAAGAGCACUCUAAUGAGACUGCCGUUGACAAAACGGAGGAAGGUGGGGAUGACGUCAAAUCAUCAUGCCCUUUAUGACCUGGGCUACACACGUACUACAAUGGCGUUUAACAAAGAGAAGCGAAACAGCGAUGUGGAGCAAAUCUCCAAAAAACGUCUCAGUUCGGAUUGUAGGCUGCAACUCGCCUACAUGAAGUCGGAAUUGCUAGUAAUCGUAGGUCAGCAUACUACGGUGAAUACGUUCCCGGGCCUUGUACACACCGCCCGU
rnacentral:rRNA from 1 species